GACCGCUGGCUCAGGGCCGUCUGUAGUGUUCAUAUGUUGGUUUAAAUAGCGUCUUGUGCUGUUUGUCUCUCAGGUUUCUACUGAUAACGGCCUGUUUGACUCUCAGGAGUUUGAUAUUAGUCGCUACCGCCGCUGAAGAGACCAUUAACAGUCGCUAUUACAAUGCUUUUCGAAUGAUUAUGAUCAUGAUUAGAACGUCGUAUUUCAUCAAAAAGCACGCUUGAGGGCACCACCGGUUAGGAAUUGCCUCGUCAUGAGAGCUAGUGGAAAUAUUAUAGGUGUACAAGGUACGUUCGUCGUAUCAGCAGGAACUUUGUGUCAACUUCUGGAGUCGCUCGUCAGGACAGUAUUCCCCUUGCUACAGCCUACAUGUUCUACGUUGCUUGGGAGGCUAUCUAGGGCAGCAAACAGUUUACGCACGUAAGGACCGGGAGAAUCGUUUUCACACCGGAAGACGGUGAGAGAAGAAGACGGUGAGGAGGAAGGCAUUCCCCAGUCGAUCUGCGUGAACGGUGCCAUUGCUGGUCGCUUG